UACAGAGGGGGCGAGCGUUGUUCGGAAUUACUGGGCGUAAAGGGCGCGUAGGCGGCCUCUUAAGUCGAACGUGAAAUCCCCGGGCUCAACCCGAGAACUGCGUCCGAUACUGGGGGGCUUGAAUCCGGGAGAGGGAUGUGGAAUUCCAGGUGUAGCGGUGAAAUGCGUAGAUAUCUGGAGGAACACCGGUGGCGAAGGCGGCAUCCUGGACCGGUAUUGACGCUGAGGCGCGAAAGCCAGGGGAGCAAACGGG
rnacentral:rRNA from 1 species